rnacentral:rRNA from 1 species
UACGUAGGGGGCAAGCGUUGUCCGGAAUCAUUGGGCGUAAAGCGCGUGUAGGCGGCCAGAAAAGUCCGCUGUGAAAACUCGAGGCUCAACUUCGAGCUGUCGGUGGAAACUUUCUGGCUAGAGUCCGGAAGAGGAGAAUGGAAUUCCUGGUGUAGCGGUGAAAUGCGCAGAUAUCAGGAAGAACACCGAUGGCGAAAGCAGCGCUCUGGGACGGUACUGACGCUGAGGCGCGAAAGCGUGGGGAGCGAACAGG